rnacentral:rRNA from 1 species
UACAGAGGGGGCAAGCGUUGUUCGGAAUUACUGGGCGUAAAGCGCACGUAGGCGGCUCUUUAAGUCGGGGGUGAAAUCCUGGAGCUCAACUCCAGAACUGCCUUCGAUACUGUAGAGCUUGAGUUCGGGAGAGGUGAGUGGAACUGCGAGUGUAGAGGUGAAAUUCGUAGAUAUUCGCAAGAACACCAGUGGCGAAGGCGGCUCACUGGCCCGAUACUGACGCUGAGGUGCGAAAGCGUGGGGAGCAAGCAGG